UGACACAGUGCAUGUUCGCCAUAUCAGUAC
rnacentral:piRNA from 1 species